UACGUAGGGGGCAAGCGUUGUCCGGAUUUAUUGGGCGUAAAGAGCGUGUAGGCGGCCAUGCAGGUCCGUUGUGAAAACUCGAGGCUCAACCUCGAGACGCCGGUGGAAACCGUAUGGCUAGAGUCCGGAAGAGGAGAGUGGAAUUCCUGGUGUAGCGGUGAAAUGCGCAGAUAUCGGGAAGAACACCCGUGGCGAAGGCGGCUCUCUGGGACGGUACUGACGCUGAGACGCGAAAGCGUGGGGAGCGAGCAGG
rnacentral:rRNA from 1 species